rnacentral:lncRNA from 12 species
AGAAAAAAAAGAUGAAAUAAUAGAGAACAGUGAACAGAGAGAUGAAGCCUCCUCACCCUGAAAAUGCUUAUCUUUGCCCAGAAGUGACUUCUAACUUCCUUAGACAGGGUCUGGGGUGUGACCUGGCUGUCAAUAUUCUCCAGCGACCUUCCCAGGCAAAAAGCCAGGAAGACCUACAUAAUUUUCACCAUUGCUCCAACUGAAAGACUUCCCCAGGUAAAAGGCAACUGGCACAUUGAAUGUUUUGACAUUAAAUUAAUCCAUUCAAUAGCCAAUUAGAAACAAGAAGUACAAGCUUAGAAAUGUAGAAAUAAACUUGAUGAAUACAUUGUUUUCA